UUGUUUUUAUGUAAAGCUGCAUCCACGCCACUAGGUGUCUGUAUACGUCCACGAAGACUGCCAUAUUGACCAGAGCAACAGGAAAGUCUGAGAGCAUCUGUAAGGUCUUAACUUUGGCCUGCAGCUUAUCUAUGAGUUCCUGGAGGCGAGCCAUGUUCUUCCUGUCCUCCUCAGUCUGUAGAAACAGCAGAUUCCAGUUCAUUCUCCAGGUCUCUCACCUUGAGGAAAGUUUUUUUAAGACGCAAGACAUCAUCAAUGCAAUUUAGAGCGAUCUGCUCAGCCUCAUCCAGACGCAUCUGCAGAUCUUUGAUGGUCUGCUCCAUGUUCUUCUUCAUACGUUCCAGGUUCCGGACCAUUUUUUGGGACUCAGUGGCCAAGCGAUUUGCAUGGUUCAGCUGAACCUCCAUUUCAUUCAGGUCGCCCUCCAUCUUCUUCUUCACCCUGAUGGCUUCAUUACGGGAUUUUGCUUCUGCAUCCAGGGUGGCUUGCAUGGACUCUAUGGCACGCUGGUGGUUACGCCUAGUAAAGCUAGCUUCCUGUCAAUGUCUGCUUUGAUCUGGUUGAGCUCCAGCUGUAUACGUAGAGUCUUACUCUCCUCAUGCUCCAGAGUGCCCUGAUACAAAAAUAAGGCAUUGUCAGCGAUGGAAUAGAUGUGAGGUGGAGCCUCGGAGCGGCGUUUGCCUUUGUAAGCAGCCACUACAGGGGCCGUGUAGACGGGAAGCCAUUUAUAUGGGUUCACGGUCACACAGAACAGUCCAGAGUACGUCUGCCGUGAGAGGAUUUGACAAGAUUAAUCUCAGGCAUUCUUUCUCUGGAUGUCAUAUGGACAGGAAAGGGUUAUCUGACAGGAAGUGGAAGUCCUCCUGCCGCCCCAUCCUGUAGCUGAAGGCCUGUGAGCCAGGAACCCCUGCUCCCCCCUCCCUGUCCCUCCGCAGGGCAUGGCUGCCCGCUUGUGUUUUGGUAAUCUUCAUCCACCCUGACCUGCUGGCCUGCUCCUGGCGCCAGCAGUCUCAGAGCCCCCCACACCCCCCGAUCCCCCCAGCUAAUUCAGUCCAGCUGUUGCAAGGUGCCUCGGCCACCCCCACCCGCCACUGCACUUGCCAUAUCCUUCACUAACACUAAUAUGCUGCCUUUGCGGAAAAGACAGAGCGCUUUUUAUGCUCUUGUGAGAACCAGGUAUAAGAAGAACCAUGCGACGGUUAUUUAGUGAGUAAAAGAAAUCCGUUCAGGCUGACUGAAGAGUUUCAGUGCCACUUGACCAAAAUUUAGAUGAACGUAGCAGACAAAUCAGAGCAUGCUUUUUCAUUUAAUUCCAUAAGGUUUGUCUGCCAAUAAAACACAUUAAAAAAUCAUUUUCUUAAUUUAUAUUUUUGACCUGUCUUCCAGUAAAAAGUAUU